UGCCACCACCCAGAGCAGCUAUGGACAAUGUCCCUGUCCCCAGGGCCACCACCUGGAGCACCAUGCAUGGACAAUGUCUUUGUCCCUAUCCCCAGGGCCACUGCUAUGAACACCAGGCAUGGCCACUGCCACCAUCCCUGUCCCCAACGCCACCACCCAGAGCAGGUAUGGACAAUGUCCCUAUUCCCAGGGACACUGCUAUGAGCAGCAGGCACAGCCACUGUCACUGUCCCCAGGGCCACCACCUGGAGCACCAGGCAUGGAGAAUGUCCCUGUCACUGUCCCCAGGGCCACCAUCAGGCAGCAGGCACGGACAAUGUCCUUGUCCCACCAUCCAGAGCACCAGGCAUGACCACUGCCUGCUGGUCAUGCCAUACCAUCCCUGUCCCCAGCGCCACCACCCAGAGCAGGCAUGGACAAUGUCCCUGUCACUGUCCCCAGGGCCACCGCUAGGCAGCAGGCAUGGCCACUGCCACCAUCCCUGUCCCCAAUGUCACUGCCAUGAGGACCCAGCACAGCCACCGCCACCCCUGUCACCAUUGUCCCCUCACUGCUCUGGACACAGCCCGUUUGGGCUCCACCACCCUGCCAUUGUCCCCUCAGUGUCCCCUCAGUGUCCCCAAUGUCCCUCACCUCUCUGGACACGGCCCGCUUGGGCUCCACCACCCUGCCAUGUCCCCUCAGUGUCCCCAAUGUCCCCAGUGUCCUCUCAGUGUCCCCAGUGUCCCUCACCUCUCUGGACACGGCCCGUUUGGGCUCCACCACCCCACCAUUGUCCCCUCAGUGUCCCCAUUGUCCCCUCAGUGUCCCCAGUGUCCCCUCAGUGUCCCCAUUGUCCCUCACCUCUCUGGACACGGCCCGCUUGGGCUCCACCACCCCGCCAUUGUCCCCUCAGUGUCCCCUCAGUGUCCCCAAUGUCCCUCACCUCUCUGGACACGGCCCGUUUGGGCUCCACCACCCCGCCAUUGUCCCCAUUGUCCCCAAUGUCCCCAGUGUCCCCUCAGUGUCCCCAAUGUCCCCAAUGUCCCUCACCUCUCUGGACACGGCCCGUUUGGGCUCCACCACCCUGCCGUCCACCUUGUGUGGCCGCGCGUUCAUGGCAGCAUCGACCUCCUCCACUGAUGAGUAGGUGACGAAGCCGAAGCCCCGCGAGCGCUUCGUGUUGGGGUCCCGCAUCACCUGGGGACAGCGGGGACACAUCAGGGACAGACACAGGGACACCUCAGGGACACCUCAGGGACACCUCAGGGACACAGGGACAGGGGGACGGACACAGGGACAUGGGGACAGACACAGGGACACAGAGACAGACACAAGAACACCGUGAACCCGAAGCCCCGCGAGCGCUUUGUGUUGGGGUCCCGCAUCACCUGGGGACAGGGACACAUCAGGGACACAGCAGGGACACCAGGACAGACACAGGAACACAUCUGGGACAUGGGAACAGACACACGGACAGACACAGGGACAUGGGGUACACAGGGACAUGGGGACAGACACAGGGACACCUCAGGGACACAGGGACACAGAGACAGACAGACACAGGGACACAUCAGGGACAUGUCAGGGACACAGGGACACAGAGACGGACACACAUACACAGGGACAGACACAGGGACACAAAGGACACGAUCCUGGGGACCCCCAACCCCAUUUUCAGUGAUCCCAGUCCUGCUCUCAGGGAUCCCAAGCCCAUUUCAGGGGUGUCAGGGCUGGUUUCAGGGAUCUCAGGAUCCUAAGCCUGUUUUUGGGGAUCCCAAGCCCAUUUUCAGUGAUCCCAGCCCCUUUUCAGGGGUUCCAGCCCCAUUUUUUGGGGUCCCAGCCCCAUUUUGGGGGGUCCCUCACCACGCAGUCGGUCAGCGUGCCCCACUGCUCGAAGUGGAUCCCAAGCCCAUUUUUGGGUACCCCAGCCCCAUUUCACACAUCCCAGCCCCAUUUCUGGGUACCCCAGCCCCAUUUCUGGGUACCCCAGCCCAUUUUUGGGGGUGCCCUCACCACACAGUCGGUCAGCGUGCCCCACUGCUCGAAGGGGAUCCAAGCCCCUUUUCAGUGACCCCAGCCCCAUUUUC
rnacentral:lncRNA from 1 species